rnacentral:rRNA from 1 species
UUGAACGCUGGCGGCAGGCCUAACACAUGCAAGUCGAGCGGAUGAAGGGAGCUUGCUCCUGGAUUCAGCGGCGGACGGGUGAGUAAUGCCUAGGAAUCUGCCCGGUAGUGGGGGAUAACGUCCGGAAACGGGCGCUAAUACCGCAUACGUCCUGAGGGAGAAAGUGGGGGAUCUUCGGACCUCACGCUAUCAGAUGAGCCUAGGUCGGAUUAGCUAGUUGGUGGGGUAAAGGCCUACCAAGGCGACGAUCCGUAACUGGUCUGAGAGGAUGAUCAGUCACACUGGAACUGAGACACGGUCCAGACUCCUACGGGAGGCAGCAGUGGGGAAUAUUGGACAAUGGGCGAAAGCCUGAUCCAGCCAUGCCGCGUGUGUGAAGAAGGUCUUCGGAUUGUAAAGCACUUUAAGUUGGGAGGAAGGGCAGUAAGUUAACACCUUGCUGUUUUGACGUUACCAACAGAAUAAGCACCGGCUAACUUCGUG